rnacentral:rRNA from 1 species
CCGUGCCUGGUAGCGGGGGAUAACUAUUGGAAACGAUAGCUAAUACCGCAUAACAGUAGAUAUUGCAUGAUAUCUGCUUGAAAGGUGCAAUUGCAUCACUACCAGAUGGACCUGCGUUGUAUUAGCUAGUUGGUGAGGUAACGGCUCACCAAGGCGACGAUACAUAGCCGACCUGAGAGGGUGAUCGGCCACACUGGGACUGAGACACGGCCCAGACUCCUACGGGAGGCAGCAUG